UGGGGAAUAUUGCACAAUGGGGGAAACCCUGAUGCAGCGACGCCGCGUGAGCGAAGAAGUAUCUCGGUAUGUAAAGCUCUAUCAGCAGGGAAGAAAAUGACGGUACCUGACUAAGAAGCACCGGCUAAAUACGUGCCAGCAGCCGCGGUAAUACGUAUGGUGCAAGCGUUAUCCGGAUUUACUGGGUGUAAAGGGAGCGUAGACGGAGAAGCAAGUCUGGAGUGAAAGCCCGGGGCUCAACCCCGGGACUGCUUUGGAAACUGUUACUCUUGAGUGCCGGAGAGGUAAGCGGAAUUCCUAGUGUAGCGGUGAAAUGCGUAGAUAUUAGGAGGAACACCAGUGGCGAAGGCGGCUUACUGGACGGUAACUGACGUUGAGGCUCGAAAGCGUGGGGAGCAAACA
rnacentral:rRNA from 1 species